UUAUCCGGAUUUAUUGGGUUUAAAGGGUGCGUAGGCGGUUUGAUAAGUUAGAGGUGAAAUUUCGGGGCUCAACCCUGAACGUGCCUCUAAUACUGUUGAGCUAGAGAGUAGUUGCGGUAGGCGGAAUGUAUGGUGUAGCGGUGAAAUGCUUAGAGAUCAUACAGAACACCGAUUGCGAAGGCAGCUUACCAAACUAUAUCUGACGUUGAGGCACGAAAGCGUGGGGAGCAAACAGGAUUAGAUACCCUGGUAGUCCACGCAGUAAACGAUGAUAACUCGUUGUCGGCGAUACACAGUCGGUGACUAAGCGAAAGCGAUAAGUUAUCCACCUGGGGAGUACGUUCGCAAGAACGAAACUCAAAGGAAUUGACGGGGGCCCGCACAAGCGGAGGAACAUGUGGUUUAAUUCGAUGAUACGCGAGGAA
rnacentral:rRNA from 1 species